rnacentral:rRNA from 1 species
AUGAACGCUGGCGGCGUGCUUAACACAUGCAAGUCGAACGAGGUCCAACCUUCGGGUGAAGACCGAGUGGCGAACGGGUGAGUAACACGUGGGCAAUCUGCCCUCCACACUGGGAUAACCCCCGGAAACGGGAGCUAAUGCCGGAUACUUCGGGAUGGUCGCAUGGCCGACCCGAGAAAGCUCCGGCGGUGGAGGAUGAGCCCGCGGCCCAUUAGCUUGUUGGCGGGGUAAUGGCCCACCAAGGCGACGAUGGGUAGCCGGGCUGAGAGGCUGAUCGGCCACACUGGGACUGAGACACGGCCCAGACUCCUACGGGAGGCAGCAGUGGGGAAUCUUGCGCAAUGGGCGAAAGCCUGACGCAGCAACGCCGCGUGCGGGAUGAAGGCUCUCGGGUCGUAAACCGCUUUCAGCAGGGAUGAAACUGACAGUACCUGCAGAAGAAGCCCCGGCUAAAUACGU